rnacentral:rRNA from 1 species
AGAGUUUGAUCAUGGCUCAGGACGAACGCUGGCGGCGUGCUUAACACAUGCAAGUCGAACGAGGCAGCAAUGCCGAGUGGCGGACGGGUGAGUAACACGUAGGUAACCUGCCCUGCAGUGGGGGAUACCCAGUCGAAAGAUUGGCUAAUACCGCAUUCGCUCGAGAGUUGGAAUACUUUCGAGGAAAGAUUUAUCGCUGUAGGAGGGGCCUGGGUCCGAUUAGCUAGUUGGUGAGGUAAUGGCUCACCAAGGCGACGAUCGGUAGCUGGUCUGAGAGGACGAUCAGCCACACUGGAACUGAGACACGGUCCAGACUCCUACGGGAGGCAGCAGUGGGGAAUUUUCCGCAAUGGGCGAAAGCCUGACGGAGCAACGCCGCGUGGAUGAUGAAGUCUUUCGGGACGUAAAAUCCUUUCAGCAGGGACGAAAAAAAUGACGGUACCUGCAGAAGAAGCAUCGGCUAACUACGUGCCAGCAGCCGCGGUAAUACGUAGGAUGCGAGCGUUGUCCGGAAUUAUUGGGCGUAAAGAGAACGUAGGUGGUUUCUUAAGUUUGGGCUUAAAGACUGGAGCUUAACUCCAGGACUGGCUCGAAAACUGGGAGACUAGAGGAUGUCAGAGGAAAGUGGAAUUCCGAGUGUAGCGGUGAAAUGCGUAGAUAUUCGGAGGAACACCAGUGGCGAAAGCGACUUUCUGGGACAUUCCUGACACUGAGGUUCGAAAGCUCGGGGAGCAAACAGGAUUAGAUACCCUAGUAGUCC